rnacentral:rRNA from 1 species
AUUGAACGCUGGCGGCAGGCCUAACACAUGCAAGUCGAACGGUAACAGAAAGCAGCUUGCUGCUUUGCUGACGAGUGGCGGACGGGUGAGUAAUGUCUGGGAAACUGCCUGAUGGAGGGGGAUAACUACUGGAAACGGUAGCUAAUACCGCAUAACGUCGCAAGACCAAAGAGGGGGACCUUCGGGCCUACUGCCAUCGGAUGCGCCCAGAUGGGAUUAGCUAGGAGGUGGGGUAACGGCUCACCUAGGCGACGAUCCCUAGCUGGUCUGAGAGGAUGACCAGCCACACUGGAACUGAGACACGGUCCAGACUCCUACGGGAGGCAGCAGUGGGGAAUAUUGCACAAUGGGCGCAAGCCUGAUGCAGCCAUGCCGCGUGUAUGAAGAAGGCCUUCGGGUUGUAAAGUACUUUCAGCGAGGAGGAAGGUGUUGUGGUUAAUAACCACAGCAAUUGACGUUACUCGCAGAAGAAGCACCGGCUAACUCCGUGCCAGCCGCCGCAGUAAUAC